CAUCGGUUUCUUCUUUCUUCUACUGCGUGUUUACUCCGGAGAGUGAUAGAACAAUUGCACCCACCAAGAGGAAGAAAGAAGAAGAGGGAAAUUCACAUCACGAGACUGAACAGAGAGAGAAGAGGGGGACGGGAAGAAGAAGAAGAAGAGGAAUCUGGGUCUUGAUCUGAAGCACCUGGCUUUUUUGGAUAUCACUUUUCUUUUUCUUGGCUAAUCUUGAUCUACAGAGUGUGAGCUGUUCAGAUUUGCUGUCUAUCAAUCUUUGAACCAGAGUUUCAAAUUGGAUUGAGAUUUGCAGAAGCCUUACAAUUUCAUGAAUCAUUGUUGGGCUUGAACCAGGCAUUGAAAUCUAAUUUGCUGUUUGUAUGUAGUUCAGACUCGAAAGUUGCAUAUACUCAAGAACUUGGGAAAACCUGUUUUUUAAACUCCUAGACGCAGAAGUUUGACAGUUUAAGGAUUCUGCUCCAAGGUUAGCAUUCUGUAUAUAUGCUAAAGAGAAAAUUGUUUUAAUCUGUAAAGGUCUUUUAAUAUUGCAAGUAAAAGUUGUAAAUAAACUGGCUAAUACUCAUUUGAGUAAAAGUUUAUACUCAUUUGAGUGUCAAGCAAUUACCUUUAGACUAGAUCCUAGACCAUUGUCAUCAUUCUAAACUGGAAGUGAUAUCCUACAACAUCAUCAAUGGAGAUUGUCAGCAAGGAGAAAACCAACUGUGGUUCCAAACCACUUUUUCUAAAAACAAAGGAAAGCGACUUUUCGCACAUUCUCCAUGACUAGCUAUCAGAAGGAUACAUUAUCAACUAUUUUUUGUAAACCAUUGCAACAGCAAUUGUAACUAAGUUAGCCUUAUUUUCAACAUUGCCAGUAGAACACGAACUAUUUCAUCUUUAGUUGUAAAACAGACAUAAAUCUUUUCUUAA